AAAAAACUUCUCUGUACGCUCUCUCUUCUGAGCAUACUUGUUUCGCCAAUCCAAGCUAGCAGCACGUACUCUUUUCAAAGAUCGCAUAUAUAGGUGAGCGUAGAGCUAUCUCCAAAUUUAUACCUUAAACCAUCCAAUUUCUUCUUCUCUGCUCCACCACCAUAUAUUUCUAAAGAACUGCAACAUGUCAGCUGCCAUCGCCGCAGCCGCUGCCGCUGCAGUGGCUUGCAAUUCUACAGUUUCAUCAAGAAAUGGAAACAAUCAUCAACAGCUGCAGCAGGUAACCUUAUCACCACCAACAGUGCCACAACCGCCGCCAUCGCUGCCAUUAAGUCGUUAUGAAUCCCAAAAGAGACGAGACUGGAAUACUUUUGGCCAGUACCUCAGAAACCACCGCCCACCCUUAGCACUAUCCCGGUGUAGCGGCGCUCAUGUCC
rnacentral:misc_RNA from 1 species